UGUCUACCGCAUCUCCGUGACCAUGGUC
rnacentral:piRNA from 1 species